UGUACACACACUCACUGCUGUUGUUAAACUACAGGGACGAGUUCAGCUGAAAAUGUCUCAUGGCAUUUCAUACCUGCAUGAUGUUCUUUCUUCUGCAGAACACUGUCAAUAUGUUGUGUGUAUUUGUCGAUAUAUCAUGGGUAUAUUAUUAAACCUCAUUCAAACUCAUUGUGAUGUAAGAAAAUAAGGCCAAUGUAAACAUGAGUGUUUCCUCUAACAUUGUUUUAUUUGAUUUUGUUGUGUUGAUACUGAUGUGUCUGUGAUGUAUUACCGCUGUCCUGCUGAGUUUAGUUUCUACUACUCUCUGUCUAUAUUCACUCGCUAUUAUUCUACUUCAUUUCCCAUCUCAACACUUUUGACUAGUUUUGUGUUAAUGGUUUUAAAUCAGCUUGUGAAUUUUUUUUUAAUGAGUAGUUUCCGUCUUUGUUAUAGCACAGAGUAGUAACCCCUGUGUGUAUUUACAAUCUGAGGGUUAUAAUAGAUCUCCUGCUGCUGAACCGACGCCGUCAUGCCAACACUGACUGACCCUGAACAACAUUGUGAGGUUGGACCCACGUGACCCUCUGCACACCCGCUGGGAUCUCUGUCGGUCCACAGUCACGCUAAACUAUGGUCAUCUUAAUGGCUAUGUGCUUUAAUGUGAGUUCACAAAAGGUUUCAGAGAGCUGAGAGGAAUUUAAGGUCAUAAAACUGAGGAAGUUUACCAAAUGUGUCCUGAGCACCUUGAGUUCAGUGUGUCACAUGUUAUUGAUGUCAGAAUGAGACUUAAAGUUGAAUGUUUUCUUUUAAACACAAAUGGGACGUGUAAGGUCUUUGUGUUACAUAUGGUUCUCUUUUGAAAUGUUUCCUAUAGAGCUGAACUCAAGUGUUUCUGGAGACUUUAGGUAUUUUAAUUGUUUUCUGAGGCGAUCUUCUUUCCUAAUGGAUCAUAACAGAGAAAACAAUAUUCAGCAAACCAGCACAUUAUCAUGCAGACUUUACAUGCUUAUCACUAUUUCAAAUGAAAGACAACUCCUCCUAUAUCUACUCUGUUUUGGCAUAAAUUAAUUUGUCAAUUGGCAAACCCAACUGAUGCCAUCAUGGAGAGAUUGUGUGACAGCCCUGAAAUCCUAAACAAAACUACACAAGAUAAAGGCAAAUACCACUCAAACUACACGUGUAUUUUUGACACUAGUUCACUUGCAUGAAGGUAAACGUGGAUUGUGUGUGUUUAUAUUCAUGAUUCUGUCCUUGGUGUCUUUCAGCAGUCCUCUCUGUGACAUGAAGCCGUCCUGUACUCUCAGACAGCGUUAAUACAAGUGCGUUUCCCUAUAAAAACACAGAACGGUUACGCCUGGCGUUAACACUAAUCCCAAGAGUUCGACCCAAGAAACUUUUGGGAACGCUGCAGUUUGAAAUCUCCGGUGGUUGCAUUUGUGUGUAAACAGACGAAAACUGAGACUUCCGAAUGUGCAGGCGUGGUUGCCCACAUUGGCUCACUGAUCGCCUCAUCUGUAUCGCUGCGUUUGCUUCCUGAUUUGUUAAGCCCCGGUCACAUGAGGCAUUACGCUACCUGAAGGCAACAAUGACCAGCCUCGCAAGGAGCAUGACCAAUACUUGAGAUGUACUUCGGAGGCAAAAUGACCGAAGAUAUCAAAUCUUGCUUCAAGACAAAAAAAACCUGUUAAUAAGUUAAGGAGAACUGAUGAUACACUUUGGAGCAUUUACACAAUGAAAGUCCUUUAAUCUGUGGCGUGUUCCAUUACAACUCUCAGGACUGAUGGACACAAAUCACACAUGCUCCCAACAUGUCAUCACUCAAAGAGUGAAAAAGCUGUUUUAAGUUUAGUUUCUCAGUAAAGGUUCAAAUGAGCUGCUCUGGUCACCGGCUCGGCUCUGUGCGGUUCUGCUCAGCGAGCCGAUAAUUCAGCAUUAAUGUUCCACUGUUAGCGGCUGUAAUGACCCGAGAUCUCAUCAUUAAUGCAGCCAGAAAUGAAAUAUAAAAUUUGCUGCAGUGGACAGCUGUAUUCAGCAGGGCGACCCACCCGAGCGUCAAACCGCCAGCGCCAUCUCGCUUUCACGCUCUCUAGAUUACAGAGGCGGUCCGAGGGGUUUGUCGAUGACCAAUAAAUGUUUUCUAAAAUUGCUCCUUUGUGAUGAGCAUCACCACCCUGUGAAGUGACUCCAAUGCGUCUGUGAUUGCCACCGGCGUGCUGAAGCAAAUUACACGUUAUUAAAUAUGAAGCUGUUGGGAACGAGUGCAGCUGUCGGACCGAUCGUGUUCUGACACGUCUGAUGGAGGUUUACACAGGCCGGGUUCUCUUUUUACAACACAGAAGUGUGUGUGUGUGAUUUCCUGAGAGUGAACAUUGCCCACCGAUAGUGUCGUUUUCAUGUGAUUGAGGUGAAGGUUGUCAUUUAGUCAUCUAGCAGACACUUUUAUCCAAAGCAACUUACAGGUGGGGUUGUAUCUGAAAAACUUUACUGAGUAUACACAUCAUUACUCCAGACGCUCUUCGUCAUCAUUUUACCACGAUCAUGUACCGAUCUGUUAAGAGAAUACUGUUAAUUGCUAUUUAUAGAGCUGACCUUGGGGAAUUAUAGAUGCUUCAUUUUAGCUUCAUUUACAAAAAAAAGAGGUCAUGUUUACGCUAAUAUUGCUCGCGUAUCUAUAGAAGUACAAAGCGUGCUACACAGAGUAAUCAUUACGACUUCAUAUCACACAUUAUUACAGGUGAAAGACCAGCAGAAAUAAGAUCAGGUCUUGUAUCACACUGAAGGGGUUUAUUUCGCGAUAACAGUUGGCUCAUUGUACAUUAUUUCAGUUAUUACACGGCUACUGUACUUGCCACAUGAGAAAAAAAUGGACAUGAAAUGUCAAUUUGAAAUAUAGCUCAUAUUUACUGAAUACACACCGUCCGUGAGGAAAAGCUGUUUACUUUUGACAAGACUCGCCGUCAGGAAAGGCAUUUGGUUUAUUUGUAAAUAUAAUGUCAUAUAUUUAUUAAAUUUAAUUUGUCCAAAAAUUUAUAAUUUAUAAUUUGUCCGUGUUACCGUGUGUUAUUAGUUUUGGGAGGAUGAUAUCUGGGAAUAACAAACCUGCAAAUCUGGCGACUGGCCAAUCAGAAUCAAGCAUUCCAACGAGCCGUGUAAGAAGGGAUUGUCCAGGUAUAUAUAGUUUACUAGUUCAAUACUUGUAGCACAUUUUUAGUCGAUGAAAGCACAGUCUGACAUACUGUAUAUUCAGAGUAAACGACUAGUUUAGUAGUGUUUAUACUGCAAAUAUUCCACACUGAAGCUGAACUUACUCUAUAAACUUGAGAAGUACGAAAGCAUGUCAAACUAUGUGACAAGAUGUUUUAAUGGACAAUCAAAAGAGUCAACACAACUACAAGUCAAGCACACUUCAAAUAUGUCAUUGUACCUUUAUAUAAUAUAGGUAUAUAGCCAUCUAAAGACUGAGAACUUAUU